AAAUUGAAGAGUUUGAUCAUGGCUCAGAUUGAACGCUGGCGGCAGGCCUAACACAUGCAAGUCGAACGGUAACAGGAAGCAGCUUGCUGCUUUGCUGACGAGUGGCGGACGGGUGAGUAAUGUCUGGGAAACUGCCUGAUGGAGGGGGAUAACUACUGGAAACGGUGGCUAAUACCGCAUAACGUCGCAAGACCAAAGAGGGGGACCUUCGGGCCUCUUGCCAUCAGAUGUGCCCAGAUGGGAUUAGCUUGUUGGUGAGGUAACGGCUCACCAAGGCGACGAUCCCUAGCUGGUCUGAGAGGAUGACCAGCCACACUGGAACUGAGACACGGUCCAGACUCCUACGGGAGGCAGCAGUGGGGAAUAUUGCACAAUGGGCGCAAGCCUGAUGCAGCCAUGCCGCGUGUAUGAAGAAGGCCUUCGGGUUGUAAAGUACUUUCAGCGGGGAGGAAGGUGUUGUGGUUAAUAACCGCAGCAAUUGACGUUACCCGCAGAAGAAGCACCGGCUAACUCCGUGCCAGCAGCCGCGGUAAUACGGAGGGUGCAAGCGUUAAUCGGAAUUACUGGGCGUAAAGCGCACGCAGGCGGUCUGUCAAGUCGGAUGUGAAAUCCCCGGGCUCAACCUGGGAACUGCAUUCGAAACUGGCAGGCUUGAGUCUUGUAGAGGGGGGUAGAAUUCCAGGUGUAGCGGUGAAAUGCGUAGAGAUCUGGAGGAAUACCGGUGGCGAAGGCGGCCCCCUGGACAAAGACUGACGCUCAGGUGCGAAAGCGUGGGGAGCAAACAGGAUUAGAUACCCUGGUAGUCCACGCCGUAAACGAUGUCUACUUGGAGGUUGUGCCCUUGAGGCGUGGCUUCCGGAGCUAACGCGUUAAGUAGACCGCCUGGGGAGUACGGCCGCAAGGUUAAAACUCAAAUGAAUUGACGGGGGCCCGCACAAGCGGUGGAGCAUGUGGUUUAAUUCGAUGCAACGCGAAGAACCUUACCUGGUCUUGACAUCCACAGAACUUUCCAGAGAUGGACUGGUGCCUUCGGGAACUGUGAGACAGGUGCUGCAUGGCUGUCGUCAGCUCGUGUUGUGAAAUGUUGGGUUAAGUCCCGCAACGAGCGCAACCCUUAUCCUUUGUUGCCAGCGAUUCGGUCGGGAACUCAAAGGAGACUGCCAGUGAUAAACUGGAGGAAGGUGGGGAUGACGUCAAGUCAUCAUGGCCCUUACGACCAGGGCUACACACGUGCUACAAUGGCGCAUACAAAGAGAAGCGACCUCGCGAGAGCAAGCGGACCUCAUAAAGUGCGUCGUAGUCCGGAUUGGAGUCUGCAACUCGACUCCAUGAAGUCGGAAUCGCUAGUAAUCGUGGAUCAGAAUGCCACGGUGAAUACGUUCCCGGGCCUUGUACACACCGCCCGUCACACCAUGGGAGUGGGUUGCAAAAGAAGUAGGUAGCUUAACCUUCGGGAGGGCGCUUACCACUUUGUGAUUCAUGACUGGGGUGAAGUCGUAACAAGGUAACCGUAGGGGAACCUGCGGUUGGAUCACCUCCUUACCUGAAAGAAGC
rnacentral:rRNA from 1 species